GAUCAAUGGCAUCUUCGUCAUCAUGCGCAUCAAGUAUACAAACGAGGUCUGGUCCAAUUGAGGGUGACGUUUUGUGGAUGCAACCCGAGCAUGUUUCAGAACAUGUUUGGAAUGGAGAAGCAGACAAAAAACUACACAUCAGACGAGCAGUGCCGAUGUAUCAAGGUGAAGAACAAAUACCAGAGGAAAUUGUUCCUCUGCUUCGGCAAUGUGAGUUUUAUUGGAUAAUUAAGAUGGGAUACCUAAAGAUAAAUGCGGCCUUAAUUAGUGCGUUCGUUGAAAGAUGGAGGCCAGAAACCCACACGUUUCACCUGAGAUGCGGAGAGGCUACCAUUACUCUCCAAGAUGUGUCAGUCUUAUUAGGUCUUCGUACUGACGGGACACCACUAAUUGGUUCAACAAAUCUUGAUUGGGCCGACUUAUGUGAAGAAUUAUUAGGAGUCCGACCACAGGAAGGCAAACUUGAAGGCAGUGUCGUCAAAUUAAGUUGGCUGACUCACCAUUUUUCUCGCAUAAAUAUUGAUGAGGGUAACGUUGAACAAUUACAAAGGUUUACCCGUGCGUGGAUCCUUCGAUUCAUAGGAGGUGUCCUCUUUGUUAACAAAAGUAGUAGCAGAGUUUCCUUAAGGUACCUACAAUUUUUACGUGACUUUGAACAGUGCAGCACGUAUGCGUGGGGACCUGCCGUGCUUGCGUAUUUAUAUAGAGAGAUGUGCAGCGCCACCGAUUACAAAGUUAAAUCAAUCGGAGGUAUGUGCAUCUUAAUCCAAAUGUGGGCAUGGGAACGAUGUACCACUUUAGCUCCAAAGAGGACGCCUCCCGUCAUAGAAAAUAAACCACUCGAACACAGGUGGCUGCGACGUGGAAAUCAGCAUAUUGGCAAUGAUGAUCUUAGAGUUUUUCGUCGCAAAUUGGAUAUGAUGAAAUGACAUGAGUUUGUCUGGGACCCAUACACAGCAACUGUGAUGGCAGUGUUGCCUCCAAUUUGUGUGGUUGGAAGUGUAGCCUGGUUUGCGGUGGUGCCACUGAUUUGUUUCCAUGUUGUUGAGUGGCACCAACCCGAUAGAGUUUUACGACAAUUUGGAUUGCAACAACUCAUUCCCGGGUGUCCUUCGCAACCGCAGAAUCUCCAUGGCAUAACACUCAAAGGAAAACAAGAUGAGAAUUGGUUCCACCUGUUGGCCCCAAUCAUUGGUCAGUGGAACAAUCAAGCAGAGUUUAGGGUCGACGUUUAUCCUCGACAGGAGGGCCUACUGGGUUAUAACUCGGACUACAUGGUGUGGUAUAGGCGUAAAACAAAGAUAUUUGUCGACCCAAACAAUGCAAACACAACUGCAUUGUUGCAGGGUGAAGUUGUGGAGACUUUACAAUAUAUGGUGUCACCACAAGGGAGGAACACGUGGACGGUUGAUGAUCUUGUGCCUUACGUCGAUAAGUUAGCGAUUAUAUCUGAAGAGCAAGAGAGAAUCACUGAGCCAGUGUCACAUGGUCCAGCAUCAGAGCGUGAAUUCCCAGCCCCAGAGUUUCACAUUCUUCAGUCAAGUGUUGAAACUCGGGGCAUAGGCAGACGAAGGGAGCCUGUUGAAGCCGAACAAUAUUCCCAACAAAUGAUGGAGCGUGGUCAUGGAAUGUAUUACACGCCAGCAACAUUUUCCGAAUAUCCUUCACAGAUGUAUCAGUAUCCUUUUGCAGGUCAUCAUACUGAUACUUCUGAGACCUCACAUUCGUUCGGUGGUGUUGCGGAAACACAACCUCAUUUUUCAUGGCCCACUAUGACUCCUUCAUAGCAGCACGAUGCCCCCAUGGCAACACCUAACGCCCCAUUUACUCCGCAAUGGAAUGUACCCGGAGCAAUACCUUAUAUGGGCGACUUAUUAGGUGUUGAUUUGCGUAAGGAGUUUUCUGCAGAGGCUGAGCAAGCAGAAGCGGGGAGACAACGCGGCGGCAGAAGAAAUCCUGAUCGUCAAGCGCGAAGAUGGGAUCGACCAUGUGGCACAUCCUCACGACAUCACGGACACCAUAAUGACUGAUUUUGAUGUAUCUGUGUAAUUUUGUUGUUGUUUGUAAGACAUUUGAUUUUGACAAUUAAUCUAUCGCAUUUGAUUUA